UACAACUUUUAGCAACGGAUCUCUUGGCUCUCGCAUCGAUGAAGAACGCAGCGAAAUGCGAUAAGUAAUGUGAAUUGCAGAAUUCAGUGAAUCAUCGAAUCUUUGAACGCACCUUGCGCUCCUUGGUAUUCCGAGGAGCAUGCCUGUUUGAGUGUCAUUAAAUUCUCAA
rnacentral:rRNA from 1 species